rnacentral:tRNA from 1 species
GGACAGAUGUCUGAGCGGUUUAAGGAGCACGCUUGGAAAGCGUGUGUAGGGCAACCUACCGUGGGUUCGAAUCCCACUCUGUCCGCCA